rnacentral:rRNA from 1 species
AUUGAACGCUGGCGGCAGGCCUAACGCAUGCAAGUCGAGCGGAUGAAGGGAGCUUGCUCCUGGAUUCAGCGGCGGACGGGUGAGUAAUGCCUAGGAAUCUGCCUGGUAGUGGGGGAUAACGUCCGGAAACGGGCGCUAAUACCGCAUACGUCCUGAGGGAGAAAGUGGGGGAUCUUCGGACCUCACGCUAUCAGAUGAGCCUAGGUCGGAUUAGCUAGUUGGUGGGGUAAAGGCCUACCAAGGCGACGAUCCGUAACUGGUCUGAGAGGAUGAUCAGUCACACUGGAACUGAGACACGGUCAAGACUCCUACGGGAGGCAGCAGUGGGGAAUAUUGGACAAUGGGCGAAAGCCUGAUCCAGCCAUGCCGCGUGUGUGAAGAAGGUCUUCGGAUUGUAAAGCACUUUAAGUUGGGAGGAAGGGCAGUAAGUUAAUACCUUGCUGUUUUGACGUUACCAACAGAAUAAGCACCGGCUAACUUCGUG